GUGUUUGCUUUGGCAACACAUUUAUUAAAAUUGGAACAAUACAGAGGUUAGCAUGCCCCCUUCACAAAGAUCACAUACAAAUUCAUGAAGUGCUCCAUAUUUUU